rnacentral:misc_RNA from 1 species
ACACCUCAACUCUCAUGGUCCGCCAUGAUGAGCUUGGACUUUGGGGGUCUUGCUGGCCUAUCACCGGCUCCUCUCAAAUGAAUCAGCUUGCCAGUGUUUGGUGGCAUCACGGGUGUGAUAACUAUCUACGCUUGUGGUUUCCCACCAGGUAACCUCCAGUGAUGGGGGUUCACUGAAGCUCACAAUCGUCUCUCCUCGGUGGAGACAGCUUUUGAAC